rnacentral:lncRNA from 12 species
CACAUAUACCGACGACUCUCGUGAUUUCCUGGUUUGAACUAGUUCUCUUGGCUUCAUCGGAGGGGUGGUUCGAGUGGCUCCCUACAAAGGGCCUGAAACAAGGAGCUCUACACACAUUGGAUGAUCUCAUGUCAUCUUUAUCUUCACGUAGCAUUAUGAGGUAAAAAAUAUUAUCUCCCUUUGACAACUAAGGCAACUAAGUCUUAGAGAGGUGCUCAUGACCAACAGCUAUUAACUGACAGAAUUGGG